UUACGGCUACACCACGUUCAAACAAUGGUUCCCAUACGAUCACCGAAGUUAAGCAACGUCGAGCUUGGACAGUAUUCAGAUGGGUGACCGCUUUGAAAUACUUGUUGCUGUAAG